GCGGGAAUAGCUCAGUUGGUUAGAGCGUCGGUCUCAUAAUCCGGAGGUCGUGAGUUCGAUCCUCACUUUCCGCA